rnacentral:rRNA from 1 species
UACAGGGGGUGCAAACGUUGCUCGGAAUCAUUGGGCGUAAAGCGCACGUAGGCGGUCUGUUAUGUCGGAUGUGAAAGCCCUCGGCUCAACUGAGGAAGUGCAUCCGAAACUGGCAGGCUAGAGUACUAAAGAGGGUCGCGGAAUUCCCGGUGUAGAGGUGAAAUUCGUAGAUAUCGGGGGGAACACCGGUGGCGAAGGCGGCGACCUGGGUAGAUACUGACGCUGAGGUGCGAAAGCGUGGGGAGCAAACAGG